rnacentral:rRNA from 1 species
AUGCUUGUUGAUGCGGAAAUUACAUCAGGGGCUGAGCGAGGAUUGAGCCCACUACUAUGCACCACUGCUGACAGAGAUUGGUUAGUGGACCACAGUCCUCAUAGGUUCAUGAAUCAGCAGAUCUCCUUUGCAAAGCACAAUGAAGGGAUCAAUCACAGGAGUUUUACAUAUAAUCAGUCUUGUUGGCUUGCUUUGCUUGCAUUUCCUGCUGAUCUGUGGGGACUAAAACAUGUUAGGGGUGAUGUAGAAGACUUUGCUCAUCUGGUGCAGUGGGACAAGGUGGCUAGUGAUUUCUCAAGAGUUGUAGUCAAAGUCAUGGUUGCUGACAUGGCCCUCAUCCCUAGAAGCUGUGUGGUCUCUGCGGGUAACAAGCAUCAGGCAGAGUCCUGGUCAGUGCCAAUUGUUAUUCUUGGUCACAGCAUGCUUGGCGAUUUGCCUGCAGAUGAGGAUCAACCACCCCCCAAUGGUGGAGAUCCUCACCCACCUCCUGCUUUCAUGCCACCAGCCCCGCUCCAAGGCAACAAUGCUCACUGGCCCGCUUGGGGACCCCAGCCCCAGAAUGCUAUGGGCAUGCCUCCAGUCAAUCAGUUUAAUCAGGUUGGGCAAAAUUUUCAGCAUAUCUUUGGUCACAAUCAGGGUUUACACGAGGGUCAGGAGCAUCAAGGUCAUGAUGACUUUAUUGAGCUCAAUGAUUUGCAGCACGCAGUGGGACAACUCAACCAGCAGGAGUUUGAGGAACUUAAUGACCUUCUUAAUCCAGGCAUUUUCAACCAACCUCCUAUUCAUAAUCUGCAUGCUGUGAACUUGGACCUGAAUAUCCCUGCUAACGAUCCUAACCCUGAAGAAAAUAGUGAUUUGACGGUCACUUUCAGUUCAAACUCAGAAGCAACUGGCCAUGGAUCUGUUCAAGGCAUGGUUGGCAUUGAUCUAAAUUUGCUCAAUGGACCUGCGGGGUUUGAAGACCAGCAUGAUAUGCAGGAACAACAGGUUCAGUUUGCUCCCCAAGUCCAGGUUCCUGAUGGACAACCAGCAGCACAGUACAAUCCGCAUUUACACGUUGGUAUGGUCCUGAUUGAGCCACUCUUCGUUUGUCCGGGUCCAUCUAUUGCUACAGGUCUGCCAGGACAGAAAGCUCCCUCGAUCUUAGAUGGGUCCUCUACUGACUUUCCUGCUGUGGAUGAGGCUCGCCUCAUGAACCAAGUUUUUGAUCCUAAUUCACCACAGGUAGAGGCAAGCCGCAAGAUCCAACUUUAA